rnacentral:rRNA from 1 species
CACGUAGGGGACGAGCGUUGUCCGGAUUCAUUGGGCGUAAAGCGCGCGUAGGCGGCCCAGAAGGUCGGAUGUGAAAACCUGGGGCUCAACCCCAGGCGUGCACCCGAUACUCCCGGGCUGGAGGCAGGUAGGGGAGAUCGGAAUUCCUGGUGUAGCGGUGAAAUGCGCAGAUAUCAGGAGGAACACCGGUGGCGAAGGCGGAUCUCUGGGCCUUGCCUGACGCUAAGGCGCGAAAGCUAGGGGAGCGAACAGG